AUGCGUGAAGCCCUGGAUACCAACGAAUCCAGCCACCGGACCAGGCAGCAACCAACUCCAGAAUCCUUUUCCCCCUUGACUUGCGAGCGUGGGGGUGGGGCACCGGCGUCUGGGAGACUGGCCGCCGUGGGGGCGACCGCUGGCGGGUGGCCGGCUAGGGAUUGGUCGGCUCCUUCCUCCUCCGCUCAGAUUCAUCCACUUCUGCCUCAGCUGCGGCUGUCCGCUACAACAUCAGGCUCCGUCGACGCCGCGCAGUGCCUCGGUGAGCCGUGGAGACAUUCUAUCUACAAUUUGGUUGAUCGAUUGUUGCGAUUGCUUCUAGCUCUUCCAGUUUCUACAGCAAGUGCCGAGCGAGCAUUCUCUACUUUGAAGAUCAUUAAGACAAGGCUACGUAAUACUAUGGAAGCUUCACCCCUCCAAAGAUUUCUUUCAAGCUCCGCCACUGCUCAUCAGGGUUGCCAACUGCAAAUUAUUAACCUCUGGACCUCUGAAGAGCAAUUCAAGGGAGCCUCCGCUUGCGUUUACUGA
rnacentral:rRNA from 1 species